rnacentral:rRNA from 1 species
UGAGGAAUUUUCCGCAAUGGGCGAAAGCCUGACGGAGCAAUGCCGCGUGGAGGAUGAAGGCCUGUGGGUUGUAAACUUCUUUUCUCAGAGAAGAAUUUUGACGGUAUUUGAGGAAUAAGCAUCGGCUAACUCCGUGCCAGCAGCCGCGGUAAUACGGAGGAUGCAAGCGUUAUCCGGAANGAUUGGGCGUAAAGCGUCUGUAGGUGGGUUGUAAAGUCUUUUGUUAAAGAUCAGGGCUUAACCCUGUUUCAGCAGUAGAAACUCAUAACCUAGAGUACGGUAGGGGCAGAGGGAAUUCCCGGUGUAGCGGUGAAAUGCGUAGAUAUCGGGAAGAACACCGACGGCGAAAGCACUCUGCUGGGCCGAAACUGACACUGAGAGACGAAAGCUAGGGGAGCGAAUGGGAUUAGAUACCCCAGUAGUCCUAGCCGUAAACGAUGGAUACUAGGCGCUGUGCGUAUCGACUCGUGCAGUGCUGUAGCUAACGCGUUAAGUAUCCCGCCUGGGGAGUACGUUCGCAAGAAUG